rnacentral:rRNA from 1 species
UUGCAGUCGAACGGUGAAGCCCAGCUUGCUGGGUGGAUCAGUGGCGAACGGGUGAGUAACACGUGAGCAACCUGCCCUCCACUUCGGGAUAAGCCUUGGAAACGAGGUCUAAUACCGGAUACGAGCACCUACCGCAUGGUGGGUGUUGGAAAGUUUUUCGGUGGGGGAUGGGCUCGCGGCCUAUCAGCUUGUUGGUGGGGUAAUGGCCUACCAAGGCGUCGACGGGUAGCCGGCCUGAGAGGGCGACCGGCCACACUGGGACUGAGACACGGCCCAGACUCCUACGGGAGGCAGCAGUGGGGAAUAUUGCACAAUGGGCGAAAGCCUGAUGCAGCGACGCCACGUGAGGGAUGACGGCCUUCGGGUUGUAAACCUCUUUCAGCAGGGAAGAAGCGCAAGUGACGGUACCUGCAGAAGAAGCGCCGGCUAACUACGUGCCAGCAGCCGCGGUAAUACGUAGGGCGCAAGCGUUGUCCGGAAUUAUUGGGCGUAAAGAGCUCGUAGGCGGUCUGUCGCGUCUGGUGUGAAAUCUCAUGGCUCAACUGUGAGCUUGCAUCGGGUACGGGCAGACUAGAGUGCUGUAGGGGAGACUGGAAUUCCUGGUGUAGCGGUGGAAUGCGCAGAUAUCAGGAGGAACACCGAUGGCGAAGGCAGGUCUCUGGGCAGUUACUGACGCUGAGGAGCGAAAGCAUGGGGAGCGAACAGGAUUAGAUACCCUGGUAGUCCAUGCCGUAAACGUUGGGCACUAGGUGUGGGGCCAGUUCCACUGGUUCUGUGCCGUAGCUAACGCAUUAAGUGCCCCGCCUGGGGAGUACGGCCGCAAGGCUAAAACUCAAAGGAAUUGACGGGGGCCCGCACAAGCGGCGGAGCAUGCGGAUUAAUUCGAUGCAACGCGAAGAACCUUACCAGCUUGACAUGUACGAGAAAGCCCAGAGAUGGGUUCUCUUUGACACUCGUACACAGUGGUGCAUGUGUCGUCAGCUCGUGUCGUGAGAUGUGGGUAGUCCGCACGAGCGCACCUUGUCUCAUGUGGCAGCGUAUGCGGGACUC